GCCAGGUGUGAUGGCACAUGCCUAUAAUCCCAGCAACUCAGGAGGCUGAAGCAGGAGGAUCACAAUUUUGAGGUCAGCCUCAGCAAUCUAGCAAAACCCUAAAUAACUUAGUGAGACUCUGUCUCUA
rnacentral:sRNA from 1 species